AUACGUCCAAUUUUGGUUGUUUGAGGAUUAGCGGGAGCUCUAAUUAAGGAAAGGUCCUGCCAAUUCUACUACUUCUGUGGAGAGUAGUUGAAUUACCGAGAGGGAAGCUUGGAAGCUAUCCGAGCAGCCUGUCGUGGCAAUCGGUCGACGCCUGCUCAGUAGCAGAGGAGAGUUUCGAAAGGGGAGGGGACAAGCAUAGGAAAUUCGUGCAAAACCUCGGUUUAUGAGAUGGGGAUGCGGACAGAGAUUUUUGGUGAAAUAUAAAAGAAGAUACCAUAGGAAGUAGAAAAUGUGCCGAACACCUAGCAGGUGGGCCGGGUGGGUUUGGGGCAUCCGGAGAACACAGACCGGAUAUUUAGAAGGGAUAACUAUUGUACAAGCAUCUUCUCGAAUGUGAGCUUUGCAGACUGGAUUGUUAUCUGUUGGGUUUAUAUCUUCACCGGGAUGAAGAAGAAUUGCAAAGAGAGAGAUCAUAGAGAAGCAUCAUUUGAUUAUUUACUGUUGCUCUUCUUUUUCCCAGUGGGUACAUGCAUCUGUUGUUUGCGGUGUUAUUAGCGGAGGAUGUCAGCAUUUCCUAGUCAACUCAGUCUGAGAUCUGGUGCUUUAGCAGCAAACUAGUUAAGUUCUACCAUGAAUGGAGUUCAUUUGGUUGUAUCUACCUUAAAUGUUAAGUCAUCAUUCCCUGGCAGAAUUACGUGAAAAGAAGUAGAUGUUUGUUUCUCUUUGUGAGGAAGAAGUUUCAAUGUCUGAGUCCGUUAAUUAGAUUCCUAGGACUUGACAAUGAUUGGUCACUGCACUGCACUGAAGCCUGUUAUUUGACAGGAAUCUCUUCCUCAUCCUCUUCUUCUUCCUCCAUUUCUUUGGACUGUUGGAGCAGAUUGUCUAGUGAUAUUUUUCAUGUGUUUACUGAUUAUCUAAGAUGCACAGUUAAGCAUUUAUUCUGUCAUGAUACAUCAUUGCGAUGAAUUUUCCCAGUAA